UAUAGCUUGCUAUAUUUGUCAGCUAAGUGGCGCACGGGUGAGUAAUGUAUAGAUAACCUGCCCUUAAGAAAGGAAUAACAGUUGGAAACGACUGCUAAUGCCCUAUAUGCCUUUAAUACAUAAGUAUGCAAGGGAAACGCUUUAGUGCUUAAGGAUGGGUCUGUAUGGUAUCAGCUUGUUGGUGAGGUAAUGGCUCACCAAGGCUAUGACGCCUAACUGGUUUGAGAGGAUGAUCAGUCACACUGGAACUGAGACACGGUCCAGACUCCUACGGGAGGCAGCAGUGGGGAAUAUUGCACAAUGGACGAAAGUCUGAUGCAGCAACGCCGCGUGGAGGAUGACACAUUUCGGUGCGUAAACUCCUUUUAUAUAGGAAGAUAAUGACGGUACUAUAUGAAUAAGCACCGGCUAACUCCGUGCCA
rnacentral:rRNA from 1 species